GUCCCAAACCUACAGUUGCCGGGUCAGUGGAUCCCACAUGCAGAGGGCCAGACGGGGCCCUGGCCAGGCGCUGGGAGGCGGGAGACUCGGCCGGCGCUCCAGACAAGGCUCCCAAAGGAAAGCCUUAAGCACCAGACUUACCUGGGCAAGACAAAGCUAGAGAACUGCUCCCACCGUCCCGUCAAGGAAGAUAGGAAUACAGACACAUCCAUUUCGCAAAUACGGAGACGGAGGUGUUGGAAGGUAAAAGGCAAAGAGGAUCUUGAAAUCAACUAAAUAAAAAGAUUACAUACAAAGGAAUGGCAAUUAGGCUGAAAGAAAAUACAUCAACAGCAAUAACAGAAGUGGGACAGCAGUGAAAUAAUCUACAAAAUGGAGCUGAAAUUCUUUCGCCUGAAUAAGCAGAGAAACAACAACACCUUGUCAAUGGCUAGCCCAGCUCUCCCACACCUGCCUACAUGGCCUGUACUCAUGAGCGUAAACUGACCCCCGGGCCUGCCUGGCCUCGACUUUUCUGCGCUGCCGGCAUCCUUGACCACACAGGCAACUCGUGGCCGAGUCAUCCACAUCAUUUCCUUUACGGCCGCAGAUGUGCACUCAGGGCAGCAGCAACCCUAAUGGACAGACAUUUUCCUGGAGCAGGACUGGUUUCUGAGGCGAUGAAUGAAGCUGCAGCUGCGGAUGCCAACCCACUCCAACCUGACUGCUCUUUCAUUCCACCAGUUUCCAGCCUCUGUGAUCAGACCAGGUGUUGGUUGAACACAUCUUUGUUGAUGGUGUUGAAGCUGUGUUGUGUUGUUGUGUUGCACUGAAGUUGUGAAGAUUGUGUUUGAUUCUGUUGAAGUCCAGCCAUGCUGGGAUGAAGGAAAUGGACAUGACUCUCACACUUUUCAGGAAAGGCUCUGGCCCUUGGAACGUCUCUCUUCCACCCCAGUCGUGUGCUCACCUUUCCUGAGCUGGGCCUGUUCACUCCGACAGACAUCUGUGUGCUGCGCGAGCAUUCGGCGCAUGAUGAACUGGCCACAGCCUGGGCAGAGCUCUGUCCGGCUGCCGCAGAAGGACUCGUGGAGCUCCAGCUUGCUGAGUUGCAUGUCCAGUUCGCAGAACUUACACUCAACAGGGCGCUCCUGGCACUCAUUGGCCUGUGGGAGGGAGCAGGAAGGGCAUGAUCACUGGC